UUACUUAGCAACAAGACAAUGGUAUUGAUUCUGAGCGCAUCUAAAUUUUAGAAUAUUCGCAUCCUUUUCUUACCAUUCUAAUAAGAAAGGGACAGCCAAACCGCAUUUAAUUUAGAGCUGUCAAACCUCGCGACGUUAGGUGCGAGUCGUGUGCGUAUUGUUUAAUUUGUAGAAUGCAUUAAAAUUUAGAGUCUUUGAAUGUAAAGUUCAAGUCCCGUCCUUUUUUAGCAAUAUUAAAAAGAAAAAGAGCAGAUGGGUAGUUGGGUACUCUAAAUUUAGUUUAGACAAAAACAUUAGAAUCGAUCCCAUGUUUCAUUUUCAAGAACAGUUCGUUUCGACACUUGCUAGGAACCUUCAGGUUCGGCCGAAGCCGAAGGUUUAGCCAAAGGUGGUGGUUUUGGCCGAAGGUGGCCGAAGCCGACGGUUCAGUCGGAUA